rnacentral:rRNA from 1 species
CCUACGGGUGGCAGCAGUGGGGAAUAUUGGACAAUGGGGGCAACCCUGAUCCAGCCAUGCCGCGUGUGUGAAGAAGGCCCUCGGGUUGUAAAGCACUUUCAGUGAGGAAGAACGCCUGGUGGUUAAUACCCAUCAGGAAAGACAUCACUCACAGAAGAAGCACCGGCUAACUCCGUGCCAGCAGCCGCGGUAAUACGGAGGGUGCGAGCGUUAAUCGGAAUUACUGGGCGUCAAGCGCGCGUAGGUGGCUUGAUAAGCCGGUUGUGAAAGCCCCGGGCUCAACCUGGGAACGGCAUCCGGAACUGUCAAGCUAGAGUGCAGGAGAGGAAGGUAGAAUUCCCGGUGUAGCGGUGAAAUGCGUAGAGAUCGGGAGGAAUACCAGUGGCGAAGGCGGCCUUCUGGACUGACACUGACACUGAGGUGCGAAAGCGUGGGUAGCAAACAGGAUUAGAUACCCGAGUAGUC